rnacentral:rRNA from 1 species
AUUGAACGCUGGCGGCAGGCCUAACACAUGCAAGUCGAACGAGCGGCGGACGGGUGAGUAAUGUAUGGGGACUGCCCGAUCGAGGGGGAUAACUACUGGAAACGGUGGCUAAUACCGCAUAAUAUCGUAUAAACGAUAUGGGAUUAGCUAGUGGGUGGGGUAAAGGCUAACCUAGGCGACGAUCCCUAGCUGGUCUGAGAGGAUGAUCAGCCACACUGGGACUGAGACACGGCCCAGACUCCUACGGAGGCAGCAGUGGGGAAUAUUGCACAAUGGGCGCAAGCCUGAUGCAGCCAUGCCGCGUGUAUGAAGAAGGCCUUAGGGUUGUAAAGUACUUUCAGCGGGGAGGCGUUACCCGCAGAAGAAGCACCGGCUAACUCCGUGCCAGCAGCCGCGGUAAUUC